rnacentral:rRNA from 1 species
CAAAGUUAGCGGCGGACGGGUGAGUAACACGUAAGGAACCUACCGAUAAGCGGGGGGACAACAUCCGGAAACGGUGCUAAUACCGCAUAGGAAGUUUGUUCGCAUGAACAAACUUAGAAAGAUGGCUCUGCUAUCACUUAUCGAUGGCCUUGCGGUGCAUUAACUAGUUGGCGAGGGUAACGGGCUCACCAAGGUGAUGAUGCAUAGCCGACCUGAGAGGGUAAUCGGCCACAUUGGGACUGAGACACGGCCCAAACUCCUACGGGAGGCAGCAGUAGGGAAUCUUCCGCAAUGGACGCAAGUCUGACGGAGCAACGCCGCGUGAGUGAAGAAGGUUUUCGGAUCGUAAAACUCUGUUGUAAGAGAAGAACAAAUUGUAGAGUAACUGCUACAGUCUUGACGGUAUCUUACCAGAAAAGCCACGGGCUAACUACGUGCCCAGCAGCCGCGGGUAAAUA